UACGUAGGCAGCAAGCGUUGUUCGGAGUUACUGGGCGUAAAGAGUAUGUAGGCGGUUGGGUAAGUUUGGUGUGAAAUCUCCCGGCUUAACUGGGAGGGUGCGCCAAAGACUGCCUGGCUCGAGUGUGGGAGAGGAAAGCGGAAUUCCCGGUGUAGCGGUGAAAUGCGUAGAUAUCAGGAGGAACACCUGCGGUGUAGACGGCUUUCUGGACCAUAACUGACGCUGAGAUACGAAAGCGUGGGUAGCAAACAGG
rnacentral:rRNA from 1 species